CCCCACCUUGCUGCUACUCACUGUUGGUUGUUUGUAAAACAACCUGGAGUUUCUGAAUCGACUCAUCACUCAUUUAAUCUCUAAAACUUGAAGAUUGCGGUUGUGAUCCAUUGACAGCUGGUGAACCUUCCUGAUCUGAGCAAGUUAUCAUUGCAUCCACCUCAUCAGAUAAUCCGUUACUCGACGGUCAGGUUUUUCCCCCUUGCAUUGACUCACUUGAUGACGGAAGAUGGCGAGCUACCCACCCACCCUCUGGUGGUAGGAAAACGGAACUACA